CCAACCAAAUAACUCCCUCCCAAAAUUUUAAUCCCUGCUUUUCAGCAGCUCCCCUACGUCUAUAGCCAUUCAAAGAAAUCUGCCUCCAUACGUUUGAUCUGAUCGAAGAACUAAGCCUCUUGCGGAAGCAGAACCUUCAUCAAAGCUCACUGUCACUACACUUUCCACAUCGAGACACAAAACCCCCAAAUUCUCGUAAUUAGGGUUCAUAAUCGCCAUGGAAAUCCACUCGUAAGGUUCAUGUCUUCAUGAUGGCUUGAUCAUUUGUUAAAAACAGUUUUGCAUUGCAGGUAUGCGGCUUACGUUAGUCGAAUAAAUUUCCAUAACUGUUUUAUAUAAAAUAAAUUUCAUUGAAUAGACGGAGUAUUCAGUGAUUGUGAAUUUUGUAAGCACUUUAGGACAAUUACUGAUAAAAAGGAUUGUGAGGUUGAAAUGGCAAAUCAUGAGGACGACUGCACAUUCGACAUUGACAGUAUUGCCAGUGAAUUGGAACUUCUUAAUAAUUUAAUCUAGAAACAGAGCUAUACAAUUUUGAGUUAAUUUAUAGUUUAUACUCUACCCGACUAUCUAUCAGAUGAAAUCUGAAUCUGAAUAUAGCUAACGAGCUUGAGUAACAAUGAUCACUACACUUGAAUCUUGCGUUUAUUCUUGAUAGAGAUUCUUGGUCGAAACGGUACGGGUCGAAACGAUACAGGUCGAAACGGUACGGGUCGAAACGGUUCGAUUCGAAACGGUACUGGUCGAAAUGGUUCGAUUCGAUUCGAAACGGUGCUGGUCGAAACUACGUUUGCGGAUUAAUGAUUUCAUGUUUGAUUCGAAACGGUACUGGUCGAAACGGUUUGUUCCCAUAUUUUGCUAAUUGAGUGUUUGAUGAUCAGUUUUGACAGCUUUUUGUUACCGAUCAAUUGCGAAUCAAUUAGCAUUUUCGACACCUUCUCGUUAACCGUGAAAUCAUCACCGAUCAAUUGACAUAUCAUAUUAAUAGUACCAGUAAUCGACUCAUGAGUUAUUGUUUUAUAUUCUAUAUUUCUCAUGUAGGUUCAUGUGUAUAAAGAAUCAACUUUCAAUAUUGAUGGAAUUCGGAGGAUAAUACAGUAUGAAAUUUUGAACAAUAAAAGACAUGUUCUGCCUAAGGUUUUCGAUCGUGUUACUAGUUGACGAGACAGAAACCUUCAAUUUCAGAUUGAAAAGUUGAACUUAGUUAUCAAGGAGCUCGUUAAGGAAAAAGAUGAAGAAAAAAAAGGUUCAAUGGAAUUAUUGCGGGUUGUUGGCUGACAAAGAAAAAGAUAAGGUGGAUAAAGAUGCGUUGUUUGAUAGGAUGUCACAAAUUGAAGCUAUGUUAACAGCUACAGUUCGAAGAUAGGCUAUAAACACUUGGUUUUGAAUGUUUAGAUGUUUAUCUUAUUAGGAUAAUUUUAGUUGGAAUUUUUUAUAUGCUUUUGAAAACAAGAUGUUUUAUAUAAUUUUGGGAUUUUAUUAGAUUUUUU
rnacentral:lncRNA from 1 species